rnacentral:rRNA from 1 species
AACGAACGUUAGCGGCGCGCCUGACACAUGCAAGUCGAGCGCGACAGGGGCAACUCUGUUGAGUGGCGCACGGGUGAGUAACACGUAGGUAAUCUCCCCUCGAGUGGUGGAUAACCUUCCGAAAGGAGGGCUAAUACAGCAUAAGACCACGGCUUCGAAAGGAGCGGAGGUCAAAGCGGAGGAUCGCAAGACUUCGCGCUUGAGGAUGAGCCUGCGGCCCAUCAGGUAGUUGGCGGAGUAACAGCCCACCAAGCCUAAGACGGGUAGCUGGUCUGAGAGGAUGAUCAGCCACACUGGAACUGAGACACGGUCCAGACUCCUACGGGAGGCAGCAGUGGGGAAUCUUGCGCAAUGGACGAAAGUCUGACGCAGCGACGCCGCGUGGGUGAUGAAGGCCUUCGGGUUGUAAAGCCCUGUGGGGAGGGACGAAUAAGUUGCAGCUAAUACCUGCAGCGAUGACGGUACCUCCUUAGCAAGCACCGGCUAACUCUGUGCCAGCCGCCGCGGUAAUAC